rnacentral:rRNA from 1 species
AGUGAACGCUGGCGGUAGGCCUAACACAUGCAAGUCGAACGGCAGCACAGUAAGAGCUUGCUCUUACGGGUGGCGAGUGGCGGACGGGUGAGGAAUACAUCGGAAUCUACUUUUUCGUGGGGGAUAACGUAGGGAAACUUACGCUAAUACCGCAUACGACCUACGGGUGAAAGCAGGGGAUCUUCGGACCUUGCGCGAUUGAAUGAGCCGAUGUCGGAUUAGCUAGUUGGCGGGGUAAAGGCCCACCAAGGCGACGAUCCGUAGCUGGUCUGAGAGGAUGAUCAGCCACACUGGAACUGAGACACGGUCCAGACUCCUACGGGAGGCAGCAGUGGGGAAUAUUGGACAAUGGGCGCAAGCCUGAUCCAGCCAUACCGCGUGGGUGAAGAAGGCCUUCGGGUUGUAAAGCCCUUUUGUUGGGAAAGAAAAGCAGCAGGUUAAUACCCCGCUGUUCCGACGGUACCCAAAGAAUAAGUACCGGCUAACUUCGUG